UGGGGAAUAUUGCACAAUGGGCGCAAGCCUGAUGCAGCCAUGCCGCGUGUAUGAAGAAGGCCUUCGGGUUGUAAAGUACUUUCAGCGGGGAGGAAGGGAGUAAAGUUAAUACCUUUGCUCAUUGACGUUACCCGCAGAAGAAGCACCGGCUAACUCCGUGCCAGCAGCCGCGGUAAUACGGAGGGUGCAAGCGUUAAUCGGAAUUACUGGGCGUAAAGCGCACGCAGGCGGUUUGUUAAGUCAGAUGUGAAGUCCCCGGGCUCAACCUGGGAACUGCAUCUGAUACUGGCAAGCUUGAGUCUCGUAGAGGGGGGGAGAAUUCCAGGUGUAGCGGUGAAAUGCGUAGAGAUCUGGAGGAAUACCGGUGGCGAAGGCGGCCCCCUGGACGAAGACUGACGCUCAGGUGCGAAAGCGUGGGGAGCAAACAGG
rnacentral:rRNA from 1 species